AGUGAACGCUGGCGGUAGGCCUAACACAUGCAAGUCGAACGGCAGCACAGUAAGAGCUUGCUCUUACGGGUGGCGAGUGGCGGACGGGUGAGGAAUACAUCGGAAUCUACUUUUUCGUGGGGGAUAACGUAGGGAAACUUACGCUAAUACCGCAUACGACCUACGGGUGAAAGCAGGGGAUCUUCGGACCUUGCGCGAUUGAAUGAGCCGAUGUCGGAUUAGCUAGUUGGCGGGGUAAAGGCCCACCAAGGCGACGAUCCGUAGCUGGUCUGAGAGGAUGAUCAGCCACACUGGAACUGAGACACGGUCCAGACUCCGACGGGAGGCAGCAGUGGGGAAUAUUGGACAAUGGGCGCAAGCCUGAUCCAGCCAUACCGCGUGGGUGAAGAAGGCCUUCGGGUUGUAAAGCCCUUUUGUUGGGAAAGAAAAGCAGCAGGUUAAUACCCCACUGUUCUGACGGUACCCAAAGAAUAAGCACCGGCUAACUUCGUG
rnacentral:rRNA from 1 species